CGCGGAGUGGAGCAGUCUGGUAGCUCGUUGGGCUCAUAACCCAAAGGUCGCAGGUUCAAAUCCUGCCUCCGCAACCA
rnacentral:tRNA from 3 species